rnacentral:lncRNA from 1 species
UUUAGUGCUAAGCCAAGGUUGCCUCACUCCACGCGCUUUUCCUAAUAGAUACAACUCUUCAAGAUGUCCCUAACUAGCCAUUCUUUUUAAGUCAUCUCUUUAGAGUGCCACUGCUGAUGAGUACCUAACACGUGCUUUUCCUAAUAGAUACAACUCUUCAAGAUGUCCCUAACCAACCAUUCUUUUUAAGUCAUCUCUUUAGAGUGCCACUACUGAUGAGUACCCAACAAGGUGCCUCUUGCCAAUGGGUGCCCACCAAGGUGUUUCUGAGUUAAGGGCUUUCUAAAUCGACAUCUUACAUUAGCCAUCUGGUUGUGUCUCUUUGAUGCAUCAAUGCACACCAAUG